ACCCCAUCUGGGCUGCCAUGGAUAUUUAUGUGACUUCUGUGCCCUUUUCCCCCUCUACAAAAUGCAGCCUGGCUGAACGCUUUGUGACUUGCUGCAGGGAAAGGGUUAAAGAUAUGCUCUGUGCUGUAGCUGGCAUGCGCUGGGACAGUUAACAGCUGAGGGCUGGGACAGUUGGCAGUUGGGCGGCGGCCAUCUUAGAAGGACAGAGAGCAAAGAGUGGAGCAGCGCUAAUAUCUGCAUUGUGUAGGGAUGUUCCCGGUGACUGGAAGGAAAGGAGAUUGACGGCAGCAGCUAGGGGACUCUGUGAUCAGCUACGCAUAUCCCUGUGAGAAUCGGUGGAUGAUGGCAGCAGCAGAGACAAUUGAGGCUGUGUUUAGGGACAUCUUCUGGCAUCCAAGGACAGUGAUGAAGCUACUCACCUCCCAGUGUAGGAGGGUCAGGAAGCACCUCCUCCUUUAGAGCUGCAGCUGGUGAGCAAAGAGGACAGAUCACACUCUCCUAGGGCAGUAACUGUGACAGGGGGAUACAUUACCAGGGGACACUGCCUAAAGGCUGCUGAAAGUAAGGCAGAAGUAAAUAGGCAUCACACUAAGUGAGAGAGACUUUGACACUACUUCUAAUAUCUGUGACUUAUAUGUUGACUAACAGCAGGAGACCCUUUUACCCUCCCCUACCUGGCAGGGUUGCUUUGUAGUCUACUAGUGCAGCACAAAGUGAGUUAAUAAAGCGUCCGCAUUUCAGGGAACAUAUUGAUACAGUAUUCAGCUGUUAUUGCCUGUGGAGGAGACCCAGAAACUUUUGGAAGCCCCUCCCUGCCAUCCUUCUAUAUGUAAAGUACAGUACAUUAAGGCUCAGAACUUGCUAAACUGGGAAAUGUAAUAAGGAACUUCUGAGUACUCCAACGAGAACUGUGUAACUGGCCAUAAGUAGUAUAUGGGGCCCCAGCGCUGAGAUUUGUUAUAUUUUAAUGCAUUGUUUUGUGUAAAACAUUAUUUAGAUUGUAUUUGUGUUUUGCAUUUAAAUUGGCUUAGAACAAUAAGGGUCUGAUAUGUCUUUGUAUAAUUUAAUUCUAACUAAGAGAAAUUGUUUGACUACCUUAUUGAUAACCAUCCAUUGGCAGGUUGUAUUUGUCUGUGCUGUGUGAGACUUCAGAUCAGCAAAUUGAGUUCCAGCAUAAUAAACUGAUUAAUUUUGCCUUUUGUAAGCGAUAUUGAAAAUUGUAUUAUUUUAUUUCAAAACUGAAAACUGUUUUAAUUGAGUCCACUUGUUUAAUGCAAGAUUCAGAAACCUUGUUACCACUUACUGAAGAAGCAGAAAACCCAUGCCAACAGACCAAUUAUUACUAGUAAGGCAUAUAUUCAAUACUCUACACUAACAUCAUACUUCCCUGGGUGUUACAUUUGGCGUCACUAAGAACAGGAUCCGAACACACAAUGUUAUCUGGAAAGCAAGCUGCUGGGGAUUCCUCAAGUACUCGUGCAACUAUGGCUAGCUCAAAUCCAAUAACCUUGCCAUAUUACUUUGGAGCCCUAUGGAUUCCGACAUAUAGUGGAGAUGCUCAAGGUUCUGAUGGGAACGCUCUGACUGAAUUUAAGAACAAAAUGGAGUCUAUGUUCCGCCUGUACCCACUGUCAGAGAUACAGCAAGUGGAGAUUCUAAUAGGGCAGCUGAAAGGCACGGCAUGGAGAGAGGUGACUUCAUGGCCAGUGGAUCAAAGAAAAACAGCAGACCUGAUCCUGAGCCGACUAGUUGCCAUGUUUGAUACAAGAACAUUGUCUGAUCUUAAGGUGGCCUUUUACUCAAGAAAGCAGCAGCCAGGAGAAACGUUGCGUGAUUUUGCACUCAGUCUACAUGAGGCGCUACGAGAACUUCAGGCCUCCGAUUCAACAGAAAUUCGACCAACAGACGAAAUUUUGAUUAAUCAAUUUAUAGACGGAUCCCAUGGUGAGAUUGUGAAAGUGCAUUUACGUUUACUUCAGUUACAGUUACCAAAUAGCUCAUUCUUGUGCUUCAAAAAUGCUGCCAUUAAACUGGUAGAGACAAUACAGAGGCAAGAACUGUCCUGUCCUGAGAUUCUGAGGUCCCAAGAAAAUAAAUAUUCUCCAGCAAUUGUGAAGCAGGAAAUCAUGGAUACACACAUACCAGAAGAAAUUGUUGUACAUGGUGAUCAGGCACCAAAGACUGAUAUAUUAAGUGCUAUAGGCAUACAAAUCGCUGAAUUGACCCAAAGGAUAACUGAAAUGUCACAGCAAUUGCGGUAUCUCAUGCAGCAACAAGCAAAGUGCGGAGAAGAGAUAGACUGGGGCAUCAAUGAAGGACAGCCCAGAAAUGUGGACCUUCGUCCUGUAGUCCAGAAUCAAAUUAAAGUUAUUGAAACACCAGCUGCAGACCCAGAGUCUGACGUUAGUCCAAGAAAAGUUAUAGGGAGAGUCGUUUGGUUUAACGUGCGAUAUGGCUAUGGCUUUAUCAAUCGGCAUGAUACCAAGAAAGAUGUGUUUGUGCAUUAUACGGCCAUAAAGAAGAACAACCCUAGGAAGUAUUUCCGAAGCCUGGAUAGCGGAGAAAUGGUUGAGUUUGAUGUUGUAAAUGGCAAACAAGGUCCGCAGGCAGCUAAUGUAACUGGUCCUGGUGGUGUUACGGUGCAAGGCAGCAGAUAUGUAGCAGAUCCAAAGUGUUAUUGGCACUAUACAUGUUACAGAGGUCCUCCACGUGAUUAUCAGCAAAGAUACCAAUGCAGUGAAUGUGGAGAUGAGCGUAAAGUAGAAGAAAAUGCAAAUCAACCACAGUCUGAUCGGAUCAGUUGCUACCCACCAUGCUAUUCAGAGAGAAUAUAUGGACACACACAACUAUAUACUGAUGUUUCACAGCAAAGUGAACCAUUGGGUCGCAUAGACCAGCUAAUUGUGGAGGAACGAGUUGACCCAGGGCAGCGGAGCCUGCAGGACAUAAUUGGACCUCAGCUGCCUCCAGACUCAGCAUGUGCGGGUGAGGCCAGAAUGGAGGACAUCGGUUCUAGUGCGGCCUACCUUGAUCAGGCAAAUUCAGGUGUAGCAAACCAGGAAGAGGUAACAGAGGAAGAGAUCCACAUGGCUAUAGAGAAAGACUUGGAGGUUUCCCCUAAACCCAGUGCAUCAGAUACAGCUAUGGUAACCUCUGAACUCCAAGUUCCUGCAAAAUCAUCUAAUGAAGCUAAGAAGUCUGUGACUUGGCUUUUCCCCGAGUGGCAUCGCAAAGACUGCGAAUACACCACAAUAAGUGGAGAAGAAUUUAUCUCAAUUUUACAACAGACAGUGAGAAGACCGGGAAAGAGGUCCAAAGGGAUUUCUUCCCAUUAGAUCCUGGCAAUAGAAAAUGCAAAAGUGAUUAUGUAACAAAAGUAUCCAUUUUAUACAAUAGUUUUGUAAGAAAGUGUAACUGGUUAAAGGGUUUAAAUGUUAUUGUUGCUAUAUGGCAAAUUGAUUGUGUCACUAAUAUUUAUGGUACAUUUGUGAAACUUAAAGUGUAGUCUUGAAAGUUAUAGCAGAACUUCUUAUAGUGUAAUUUUGUUUAAAUAUGUUGUUAUGUAUAAACUGUAUUUCAGUUUCAGAAAUGCAAUGCUCUUUGCUGAGGUUAUGCAAUGCGUGGGGACACGCAUAAUUCUAGUGGGCCAAUAUGUGGCACCCCAUCUGGGCUGCCAUGGAUAUUUAUGUGACUUCUGUGCCCUUUUCCCCCUCUACAAAAUGCAGCCUGGCUGAACGCUUUGUGACUUGCUGCAGGGAAAGGGUUAAAGAUAUGCUCUGUGCUGUAGCUGGCAUGCGCUGGGACAGUUAACAGCUGAGGGCUGGGACAGUUGGCAGUUGGGCGGCGGCCAUCUUAGAAGGACAGAGAGCAAAGAGUGGAGCAGCGCUAAUAUCUGCAUUGUGUAGGGAUGUUCCCGGUGACUGGAAGGAAAGGAGAUUGACGGCAGCAGCUAGGGGACUCUGUGAUCAGCUACGCAUAUCCCUGUGAGAAUCGGUGGAUGAUGGCAGCAGCAGAGACAAUUGAGGCUGUGUUUAGGGACAUCUUCUGGCAUCCAAGGACAGUGAUGAAGCUACUCACCUCCCAGUGUAGGAGGGUCAGGAAGCACCUCCUCCUUUAGAGCUGCAGCUGGUGAGCAAAGAGGACAGAUCACACUCUCCUAGGGCAGUAACUGUGACAGGGGGAUACAUUACCAGGGGACACUGCCUAAAGGCUGCUGAAAGCGAUGCGGGUUAUCCCAACAAAUCGUGGCUCUUGACCCCAUUGACUAAUCCUGUUGGUAGAGCAGAAAAACGUUAUCAAGAGACACACAAAGCAUCGAGGGGAGUAUUUGAGCGUGCCUUCGGUGUACUUAAAAGCUGGUUUAGAUGUUUAGACACUUCUGGUGGUGCUCUUUUGUACUCACUGGCGAAGGUUUGCGGCAUGGUAAAUGCAUGUUGUAUUUUACACAACAUAUGUGUCGCAAACCGUUUGCCGGUGACUCUUCGUCGCAUUGCUUUCCGAAGCAGGAACCGUUCUUCUGCUCUACCGUUGGGUAUGGACGGAGAUGAUUCCCGACGGACAUUGAUCCAAAGCUUUUUUUCCACUGCCUAGUUUUUCGUCCAGUUGACGCACCUUCCCAGCACCGUUUUCUAAGUUUCGUCCUGUUGAUGACCUGUUACCCCCUGUUUUUUCCUGUUGUUGGGUUGCCGCAAAUAUUUGACCCGUUUAUCCCACUCUACCAUGGGCAACCUACUUGUGAUAUGGAUCUGAACCUCCGCCAUGUAGCAGAAAACACCCCUCAGGUGACACAAUGAAGGACAAUAGAUGGUGUUAGGACCCACACAGGUCCAUAUGCCAGACAGCCACUACCAGUGUUGGCGUCAUCAUUCAGGAGUAGGAUGGAACUGCACCUGGAAAGCCAACACACACCUCCAUACGCAGAGAUUUGACGAGUAUCUACAAAGAAGAAUGAAAAUGCUUAGCAUGUUAUCUUUCAGUCAAAUGUGUUUUCUAAGCAUCUUUGAGUACACAAACUUCCGGUGACACGUCUGAAGUGAAAGAACAAUUUUCACAGUGGAUUAGUUUAACCAUUUAUGGUCAAUUGCAUGUUUCUGGUGUAUCCCAGUGAUGACACUGGUAAAGUAGACGAAUGAGGUACUAAGUGACCCUCCAAAAAUAUGGUUUGGUCAUUUUGGUCAUGUUCAUUUUUAGUACAUAGAGCAAUGUAGCUUGCACAUCAAAACAUUGUAAUUCAUUCUUAUUUGAUAUUCUGAUACUCUAGCAUCUGCUAGAAAAUUCUCACAGUGUUUUUGUUAAUUUAACUGGAUCUUGGAAUUUUAAUAGCAACUGUCAUCACAAUAUAGUCUAUUUAGGGUUAAGUAGGCCAAAAAUCUGCAACUAAUGUUGUUAAAAAAUAGUGGGGUAAAUGGAAGAUGGGUCGUUAUGAGGGAGAGGUGGUAUCAGUGCUGUUAUGUGUGCUGAUACCAUUUCUCCCAAAUGUAUGACUCUAGUGGUGUGUGCAAGGUGACAGGUGCCCGAUGCACACCGAUGUGCAGGGCAGUGUAUGAAAAGUCAGUAGCACCAGUGGCGUAACUACCGAGAGUGCAGGGGUGCAGCUGCUAUGGGGCCGAGAUGUUUCCAGGGCCGGCAGCUCCCCCUGCACCCAGUCCCCCACAAAGAAUUGCCGCAGGUGCACCCCCAAAAGUAGUGGAUGCGAUACAUGCUCCCUGCCCAUCAGCAUCACCGGCGUGGCUCCAUAUGUAUACAUAAUGUAGUGGUAAAUAGUUUUUGGUGUUGUGGGGGUCCCUUGCUGUGUGGCUUACUUUUUAUUUUUGGACCACAUACUACAAUUGGUCAUUGUGUUGUAUGUACACAUGUAUUUCCUCCUUUCACGCAUACUGAACUAAUGUUUUCCUUUAGAUCCAGAGAGUGAUGCGCCUCGCUUACCAAGAUUGGACCCUGUGCAAAUACAAGAAGAAGACACAUUGGGGUCAAUUCAAUUGUUUGUAAAAGCAUGAUAAUUAAUGGGCAUCCAUUGCUGCUAUUCAAUUGUUUUGGGUGCUCCUUAAUUAUCGCGCUUAUCACACCCACUUAGUAGUGUUUAGCCUUGUAAAGUUGCUAACAUGACUAAACUUAUGGACACACCGGGGAAAAGUGUUGUUUGGACUUCCAAACAGCUGACUUCUCAAACAUUUCAACUAGCCACCUCCGGGGGUGAAAGCUGAGAUGUGACUACCAUGGGUAAUGGGCGUCUGAUGGCAGCAACAAUUAAAUAUCUCCAAUAGAUACCAAAUACGGCAGACAAAACAACAAACAAUUGAAUUACCCCCAUUGACUUUGAAUUUGUAUGUGUUCACACCACCACAAGCCUAACAAGCCCACCCAGCUCUGACUUACAGGAACCUACCACAAACAGGUACUGAUGCUGCCUUCAGCCUUCCUGACCUCCAUGGUGACAUUCCAUAGUCAGCAUGUGGAUCUAUUAGAUACACAACUAAAACAUUUGCCACAAAUAUCACGCAAUUUGCACAAACAUAACAGCAAUCCUUCAGAAAUUAAUGCCAAUUCCUGCCUUUCAAUAAAAAUAUAACAAAUCUAAAUGAAAAUGUCUGUAAUGUCAACAAAAAUUUGUCCAAACAUUUUUGUAUCAUAUCCAGGAUUUUAGAGGCACAAACCAACUCAAACAUGGCCUUUCAAGAUAAUUUAUUGUGACUCAUUGAAAGCCAAAACAACAUUUUCAGGGGCAUCAAUGAAAAUAUAAGUUCACUAGCCCAACAAAUUGGUAAUUGCCUCCCUGAGGCCUCAAGUGCUGCCAGUAGUAGUGCCAACUCCCUACCUGUACCACUGUCACCCGGGCAUGGGGCCCGCACAACUAGGGAGACCAAUCCCGGGAUCGGCGGGAUCACGGGAUUUGGGCCCAAAAAUGCCGGGAUUUGAAUCCCAGGAUUGGAGCCUCCAAUCCCGGGAUUCAUGGAAUUAGAGUGCGCAUGCGCAGUUUUGCCGGACAGCGCUGAGCACUAUAGCACAGCGCUGCCUGGCUGUCAGGGAGGUAGUUACAGCAGCCACAUGUAGUUCCACAUACA